CCUACGGGAGGCAGCAGUGAGGAAUAUUGGUCAAUGGGCGUAAGCCUGAACCAGCCAAGUCGCGUGAGGGAUGAAGGUUCUAUGGAUCGUAAACCUCUUUUAUAAGGGAAUAAAGUGCGGGACGUGUCCCGUUUUGUAUGUACCUUAUGAGUAAGGAUCGGCUAACUCCGUGCCAUCAGCCGCGGUGAUACGGAGGGUCCGGUAGUUAUCCGAAUGUAUUGGGUGUAAAGGGUGCGUAGGCGGCCCUUUAAGUCAGUGUGGAAAUUCUGUGGCUCAACCAUAGAAUUGCCGGUGACACUGGGAGGCUUGAGUAUGUUUGAGGCAGGCGGAAUGCGUGGUGUAGCGGUGAAAUGCGUAGAUAUCACGCAGAACCCCGAUGGCGAAGGCAGCCUGCCAAGCCAUGACUGACGCUGAUGCACGAAAGCGUGGGGAUCAAACAGGAUUAGAUACCCGUGUAGUC
rnacentral:rRNA from 1 species